rnacentral:rRNA from 1 species
UUCCAUUAGUAACGGCGAGUGAAACUGGAUCUAGUUCAGCCUGUGAAUCGCUACCUAGUAGCGAGUUGUGGCCUAUAGAAGAUGUGUCGGACAAGACUUUUUACUAAUUAUACUGGAACGUAUAGGCGAAGAGGUUGAGACCACCGUUCAUGUUUAAAGUUCUUGUCCAUGGCAUACACCUUCGACGAGUCGAUUUGCUUGGGAUUGCAGAUCAAAGUGUGACGUAAAUUUGUCAUAAAACUAAAUAUUGGUGGGAAACCGAUAGCGAACAAGUAAUGUGAAUGAAAGUUGCAAAGAACUUUGAAAAGAGAGUUAAAGAGUACUCGAAAUCGUUGAAAGGGAAGCGAACGUAAACAGUGUUUCAUUGUAUCAUCUUUCCUCACUGACUUGUCACUGAGGCGCUGUGAUGCAAAGUUUGUCAACAAGGGUUUGGAUCGAAGCAUAAGUAUGGCUGGGAGGCACACGUCUUUUCGUGGAUUACCAGCUUGUCUCGUUUUGGUCUGGAUUGAGGCUAGUCUUCGUGUUGUUGUCGAAAUGUUUAUGUUCAUCCCGUCUUGAAACACGGACCAAGG